rnacentral:rRNA from 1 species
UACGUAGGGACCAAGCGUUGUUCGGAUUUACUGGGCGUAAAGGGCGCGUAGGCGGCAAUUCAAGUCAGCUGUGAAAUCUCUGGGCUUAACCCAGAACGGCCAGCUGAUACUGCUUUGCUAGAGUGCAGAAGGGGCAACUGGAAUUCUCGGUGUAGCGGUGAAAUGCGUAGAUAUCGAGAGGAACACCUGCGGCGAAGGCGGGUUGCUGGGCUGAUACUGACGCUGAGGCGCGAAAGCUAGGGGAGCGAACGGG